rnacentral:lncRNA from 1 species
UGCUCAAAGUCCUCCAUGAACUCUUUCACCAUCUAGGUAGGUGGAGAGGCAAUCCUCCUACCCAAGUACAUGGAUAUGAGAUCAUUGAGAAAACAAGCAACCAGGCUGUAGCCCCAAACUAGAACAAACUAAACAAAACAUCAACCUGGACAAAAUCCCAUGCAGGCCUCCAAAGGCCUUCUCCUAUAUCUUAAUUCAUAAAGCACUCCUUCAGAUAACAAUUGAGAUAAACCAGCAUUUUUAUGUGACUCUGAAUCCUUCAAUAAAAGGAUUAUAUAAUAAAAAGAGAGAUAAGGAAGAUGUUGUGUAUUGAUAGGCAUAACAUGCAAAACAGCUGGCCGUGCCCCACAUGGCACACUCCCUGUGGCUCACUCCAGUGCUGUGCUGAGCAGAACGUAUUGUAGACAUGGCCCUUGUGGGAUCAAGGGCCACAAGGAAACCUGGCAGACAAAAAAAAAGAAUCCCCAGAACAGCUUUUAUGAGACAAAUGAAGAGCAGCCCUACUCUGAAUUUUGAGGACAUAGGCAAAGCCUGCAAUCUGUGGAAUAUAUGAUGGCUCAGCUUCCCCCUUCUUUGCUCAGAGUCACGAUGCCAUGUUUGUAUAAAGGUACACUGAGAAGGGGAGAAAGAUGCAUGGCCUGCAGCCCUUCAGCCUCCAGCCAUCUGCGCCCUAUGAAAGGACAGUGAUGGGUUGACAAGCACUAGUUGACAGAGAGUCAAAUUAUCAACAAGAUUUUUAAAAAACAAAAUCACCCCGGCACCUCUUCCUAAGAAGACCAGCAGGGAGUGUUUACAGACGAAAACUACUCUAUACCUCAAGAGUUUCUGCUGGAAAGAUAGUUUGGUUAACUGGAAAUCCAGGGCACUACACCAUUUGAAGGUAUUUAAUCUGUAACUUUUACGACAGCCGAUACUCUUGUUCAGAGCUUAUAUAUGAAUUGUAGUUAUGUGCUUGUGGUGGGAAAGUGUGCUGGGUUGGAAGAAGCCACUUGGCAG